rnacentral:rRNA from 1 species
UACGGGGGGGGCAAGCGUUGUUCGGAAUUACUGGGCGUAAAGGGCUCGUAGGUGGCCAACUAAGUCAGACGUGAAAUCCCUCGGCUUAACCGGGGAACUGCGUCUGAUACUGGAUGGCUUGAGUUCGGGAGAGGGAUGCGGAAUUCCAGGUGUAGCGGUGAAAUGCGUAGAUAUCAGGAGGAACACCGGUGGCGAAGGCGGUUCUCUGGGCCGAUACUGACGCUGAGGAGCGAAAGCGUGGGGAGCGAACAGG